rnacentral:miRNA from 1 species
GUUUAUGAAGUCGAAUAUCGACGUCACAAAACACCAAAGUUGAUCGUGUUUAUGACGGCGAAUAUCGACGUCAUCAUCACCAAAGUUGAUCGCGUUUAUGACGUCUAAUAUCCUUGUUAUAAACCUUAAGUUGUUCGUGUUUAUGUAUCGACGUCAUAAACACCUAAGUUGAUCGUGUUUAUGACGUCGUAUAUCGACGUCAUAAACGGCUAAGUUGAUCGUGUUUAUGACGUCGAAUAUCGACGUCAUAAAC